rnacentral:rRNA from 1 species
AACGAACGCUGGCGGCAGGCUUAACACAUGCAAGUCGAACGCUCGUGAGCGAUCACGGGAGUGGCAGACGGGUGAGUAACGCGUGGGAACAUACCCUUUGGUUCGGAAUAACUCAGGGAAACUUGAGCUAAUACCGGAUACGCCCCCGGAUUUCCGGGGGGAAAGAUUGAUUGCCGGAGGAUUGGCCCGCGUUCGAUUAGCUAGUUGGUGAGGUAACGGCUCACCAAGGCGACGAUCGAUAGCUGGUCUGAGAGGAUGAUCAGCCACAUU